AGAGUUUGAUCCUGGUUCAGGACGAACGCUGGCGGCGUGCUUAACACAUGCAAGUCGAACGGUGAGAGGUGAGAGUUGAGAGGUUAGAAGUGAGAUUAAGAAGUAAUUUGGCAAAGCCAAAUUACUCAAUUAAGCUCUCACAUCCAACUUCUCACAUCUCACUUCUCAUAGUGGCGGACGGGUGAGUAACACGUGGAUAACCUGCCUGUAAGACCGGGACAACACCUGGAAACGGGUGCUAAUACCGGGUAAGCUCUUUUUGCCGCAUGGUGAGAAGAGGAGAGGGGAAACCCGCUUACAGAUGGAUCCGCGGCCCAUUAGCUAGUUGGCGGUGUAACUGACCACCAAGGCGACGAUGGGUAGCCGGCCUGAGAGGGUGAUCGGCCACACUGGAACUGAGACACGGUCCAGACUCCUACGGGAGGCAGCAGUGGGGAAUCUUCCGCAAUGGGCGAAAGCCUGACGGAGCAACGCCGCGUGAAUGAUGAAGGCCUUCGGGUUGUAAAAUUCUGCCUUCAGGGAAGAAAAAAAUGACGGUACCUGAGGAGGAAGCCGGCUAACUACGUGCCAGCAGCCGCGUUAAUAC
rnacentral:rRNA from 1 species